UUAACUAUUAAGUAGUUACUCUGACUGUAUGUAAAACAAGAGUUGUGGUUCUCUGCCGGGCGCUGGCCAGCCAAAGCCGGCGGGCCCGAGAGCCGGGCCCGGCAAAGCAACAAAGGUAUUAAGUAUACAAAGGGUGGGAGAUCUACCCCGAGGGGCAAGUUCUCAUUAAUGAUCCCUCCGCAGGUUCACCUACGGAGA
rnacentral:misc_RNA from 1 species